GCGCUUGUGGCGGAAUUGGUAGACGCGCCAGACUUAGGAUCUGGUGUAGUAAUACGUGCAGGUUCGAGUCCUGUCAGGCGCA
rnacentral:tRNA from 1 species